rnacentral:lncRNA from 1 species
UUGGCAUUACGUCACAGCAUUCUAGCCAAAGGCGGCAGUGAUUAAAAUUUUGAAAAUUGCGGUUUAGUUAGCGAGCAUCCCGUCGGCUGUUUGUCCACAUUUCUUAAAGGCCAUGGCGUCGUAUCAUUUAUUAAAACACACAAAACCCGAGUCAGAAUCUCCGGCCAAAAUAUUCGCGAAGCUGAAAUCUAAAGUGCAGAGAGAAGCGAUGUGCGCGAAGGAGCGGCCGUGUAACGUUAGAGACAAGCGUGGAGCAGAUUUUAACUCUCCGCGGGACAGACCCGACAACUUCCGGAUGACCACCAAGCUCAGCGAAAAUCAGACACCCGAAUAUUAUCACGGUGAAGCUCGGGCUUUGACCCUCUCGCCUAUAUCGACCCCCCAGAAACACCCGGAUCACUCCUUUUCAGACAUUAAAAACGACUACACGGAGGACGUGCCUCUGCUGAUGGGGGCCGCUUUCAUGUCGAGGAACGCGCACACGCCAGUAAAAAGAUCUUUCCUGGAGUCAACAGCUGUGUCCCAGCCUCUGUCCGAGGUCAACCGAGAGCAGGCCCGCACAGAUCGGCCUCAGACGACCAGCAGGACUCCCGGGCGUGACCGUGCCCCUCCCAGCCAUCAGCUGUCUCCGGUGAGGACGUUUUCCCCCAGGAGGCUGAGAAAGAGAAAGUGGGAGCAGCAGGGGUUCGGCGACAUCAGCAGCAAGGCACAAAAGGUCAACCAUGGCGGAUCAAAUGAGCCCUCUGCUGCAUUCAGCAAGAUCACCCACGACAAGACUGUCGGGGAGGAUUUGGGAGAUGUCAGAGGAUUCCCUGUGGGCCGAUCAGAGAUGAGCCAGUUCAUGCCUGACAGCAUGUACCCACCACCAAGAUCCGUCGUAGAAAAACGUGGUGUCCCUAUGAUGGGAAAAAUUCGUCCGAUGUCCCCUGCCAAAAUGUUUGCUUAUAUGAAGGAGAGGGAAAGUAAAAAGGAGCAGCAAGAGGUUCAUGAAGUUAGCAGUAGCACAAGGGAUCUCUUUGAUAGAGGUAAUACUUUCCAUCAGUCCAGAGAUGCACCUCUCUCCAAUCCUCAUAAUAUAGCUGACAUGGAGGAUGUUGCCUUCCGAGGUGUUCCUGAAAGUGCAGUUCCUGUCAACUGCUCUAGUGUAGAGUCAGCAGACAGCCAAUCAGAAGAUUUCCGGACCUCUCCUGCCCCGCUAGAACCGGUGUUGCUCGAAGACCCGCUUGUGCUCAAUUCACCACGGAUCUCCAUCCCAAAGAAACACCAGCCUGUGUUCAAGCGCAACAAAUGGCCCCAGCAGGCAAAAUUCCCGAAUGAGAGUGUCAUUUAUCUAAGAAAUUGGUUUUUGAGGAAAAAUCACAAUGGCUUGUUUCUUGAUGGAACACACUGGUAA